rnacentral:tRNA from 1 species
CAUUGGGCUGGUCGGGAUAGCUCAGCUGG